rnacentral:piRNA from 1 species
UAGAAACCAGAUUAUUGGCAAGCAUCAC